GGCCAGUUAGCUCAGUUGGUUAGAGCGUGGUGCUGAUAACACCAAGGUCACAGUUCAAUCCCUGUUCGAUCCC
rnacentral:tRNA from 1 species